rnacentral:rRNA from 1 species
UAGGGAAUCUUCCGCAAUGGACGCAAGUCUGACGGAGCAACGCCGCGUGAGUGAAGAAGGAUUUCGGUUCGUAAAACUCUGUUGUUAGAGAAGAACAGCGCAUAGAGUAACUGUUAUGCGUGUGACGGUAUCUAACCAGAAAGCCACGGCUAACUACGUGCCAGCAGCCGCGGUAAUACGUAGGUGGCAAGCGUUGUCCGGAUUUAUUGGGCGUAAAGCGAGCGCAGGCGGUCAAUUAAGUCUGAUGUGAAAGCCCCCGGCUCAACCGGGGAGGGUCAUUGGAAACUGGUUGACUUGAGUGCAGAAGAGGAGAGUGGAAUUCCAUGUGUAGCGGUGUAAUGCGUAGAUAUAUGGAGGAACACCAGUGGCGAAGGCGACUCUCUGGUCUGUAACUGACGCUGAGGCUCGAAAGCGUGGGUAGCAAACAGG